rnacentral:rRNA from 1 species
ACGCUGGCGGCAGGCCUAACACAUGCAAGUCGAGCGGUAGAGAGAAGCUUGCUUCUCUUGAGAGCGGCGGACGGGUGAGUAAUGCCUAGGAAUCUGCCUGGUAGUGGGGGAUAACGCUCGGAAACGGACGCUAAUACCGCAUACGUCCUACGGGAGAAAGCAGGGGACCUUCGGGCCUUGCGCUAUCAGAUGAGCCUAGGUCGGAUUAGCUAGUUGGUGAGGUAAUGGCUCACCAAGGCGACGAUCCGUAACUGGUCUGAGAGGAUGAUCAGUCACACUGGAACUGAGACACGGUCCAGACUCCUACGGGAGGCAGCAGUGGGGAAUAUUGGACAAUGGGCGAAAGCCUGAUCCAGCCAUGCCGCGUGUGUGAAGAAGGUCUUCGGGAUUGUAAAGCACUUUAAGUUGGGAGGAAGGGCAGUUACCUAAUACGUAUCUGUUUUGACGUUACCGACAGAAUAAGCACCGGCUAACUCUGUGCCAGCAGCCGCGGUAAUACAGAGGGUGCAAGCGUUAAUCGGAAUUACUGGGCGUAAAGCGCGCGUAGGUGGUUUGUUAAGUUGGAUGUGAAAUCCCCGGGCUCAACCUGGGAACUGCAUUCAAAACUGACAAGCUAGAGUAUGGUAGAGGGUGGUGGAAUUUCCUGUGUAGCGGUGAAAUGCGUAGAUAUAGGAAGGAACACCAGUGGCGAAGGCGACCACCUGGACUGAUACUGACACUGAGGUGCGAAAGCGUGGGGAGCAAAC